UUUUUUUUUUUUUUCCUCGCGGGCGAACUGGCUCCCGGCAUAGACAGGCGAGGCCCCGAGGCCUCCUUCUCGCCCUCCGCGGGUGGGCGAAGUGCCGGCAGGCGGAGCCGCGAGAGGCGGAGAUCGGUGGCUACCUGAGGAAGGAGCUGCAUCUCGCCGCCGUCGCCGCGGGAUCCGGCGGGGAUGAAAGGGAGCACGUCGCACCAGCGCAGCGGCCGGCGGAGGCUGCAGACAGAUCCAGGAAGGCGUCGCCCAUGGAUCCGCCCCUGUGCUACGGCCGCCACGUCCUCCGACCACGGUCAGCUCGAUGUUCUCUCCCUUUUUUUUGUGCGGUACUCAAGAAGCAGGAGGGAUUCUUUGUGACCGCCGUGCGUGCGGGCGGGCGCCCGUCCCUGCCUCGGCGGGUGCGCGCGGGCGAGCCGGCGCGUGGCAGCGACGACGGCGGGGCUGACGCCGGUCAGCUGCGGCGUGGGGCAGCGGGGCCGGCCGGUGGCGGCGGAGGAGGCCGCCGCGUCCAUGGCGGCAGCGGGAAGAGGAGCAGCCAGGGCUGGCCGCACCUCUCCCUCGCGCGGCCUCUCGGCGGUGGUCGCUCUUUCGGGGCGCCACGAGCAUGCAGCCGAGCGCCGCUCCCUUGCGCGGACGAUGUCCCUUGGCGCUGCCCAUUCAUCUCGAGGCCGCCUUCCCCGCCGCGGAUCAAGCUAGCGGAGUCCAUACGUAGCGUCUGCAAGUCAGCAGAGCAGAGCCGAGCGUGCCCGCUGCAGCACUUGGCAACGGCUGUAGUGAUUGACUCUGCCUACACCGGCAAUGGGGAUUGAGCAAGGGCAGGACCCAAUCGGUGCAGGAGACCUGGACAUCAUCAGGCAAGAGAAUCUGUCCAAGGAAGAAGCAAGAAAGUAAGCAACAUGAGAGCAGGGAGCCUUGGUCGCCAGGUUUCUUUGGACUUCGUCAAAAGUCUGUAUGCAAAGUUCAUAGAUUGGGAUGAGGAUAUGUAUGACCUGGAAAAUGACACACCUGCCCAUGCAGCAAAGUCCACCACAAAGGGUGUUGUCUGGCGUCUUGCAUUCUUUUCUUGCAAGUGGUAGAGCUGGUGUGCCGUUUCAACCUGUUCCAGUACCAGCUCUUGGUUUAUCUGAAAGCGACAAACAAUGUUUACGUCGUAGCUGCAUAAUGGCAUGGCAUAUUCUGGCUGACCAACCAGAGGAAUAUAUACAGGCUCAGGUCAAUACUUUGUUGCAUUCGCUUGAUAUUGACAACCGAAUGAGAGGCCCUAUGCAUGGACAGUACCCAGAGCUGGAGCAGUACUGGAUUCAGCCCAAAGUUUGGCAUAAUGCUACCUCGAUGUGUAAUGCUGCAGAUAAAUGGAUUACCGAGUUAAUCAAAUAAUACCGCAGAAAGCUGGGCAAAUUCUUUCGAGCAGCAAUAUGGCCCAAAUGGUUGGGCCUCUGGGUUUGAACAGUUCAGAAUCUUUAGCAUGCUUGUUUAGGAUUUCUGCAAGUAUCAAUUCUUAAAUAUGCUUAUUAUACUGCUCGUGGACCUUAUUAUAUCUCCUUACAGCAUUUGAUAACAGCUAGGUUUGAGUGAUCUCAAUCUUAUUUAAUGCAUGUUCACGGGAUAAAUCUCUAAUGAUAUAUGUGCAAGCUUGUGAAAUAACUGAAAGGGAUCUUCAGGCAGGAAUGAAGCUUGCACACUCUGAAGCAAUUAAAUGUAUUGACCCUCAAAUAAGAUUGGCUAAGCGAGCUGGCAAAGAGAAGAAAGCGUACAAGAUAUCUCUGAUUUCAGAUACAUCCUUCGACAAAAUUAGAACAUUAUCAGAAGCACCAAUUGAGGAAGUCCUCACUGAUUCAUCAUAUGGCAAGGUGAUUAUAUUUUACAUUAGUUCCAGCAUCGCCAACACAAAAAAGAAUGGACCCCAAGGACAGGAAUACAUCAUCAGCCCAGACUCUGCACAUUAUGAGCAGAAAAUCUGACCAAGAAGCAUCUUUUCAAGAGCUUUCUAAAAUGAUUAUUUUGCGUGGCCAUCUGCUGUCCAUUGUCGAGCAUAAAGAAAUGAGAAGUUUUGCAAAUAGCCUCAAUCCAGAAUUUAACAUGACUUCAAGCAUUGAUGUAGAAGAGUAUUCAACUAUUUUGUUCCAGAAAUUAAAGGCUGAUCUACAUCAAAAGAUCCCUCAAUCCCAUGGGGUUUUCUUAUCAGCAAGUUUGUGUACUCCUCAUGGAUCUGAGUCCUCAGUGAAGUAUCUUUGCUUGUCAGUGCAUUUUGUUGAUUCAGACUGGAAACUUCAAAGGAGAAUAAUCAAAUUUAGUGCGUUUCGGACCUCAACCACUAAUUUGGAUCGGAUGAUACAUCUUAAGGAGGCUCCUGUACUAGAUUCUGAAAGCGGGCCAUUUAAUCUCAUAUCGGAAGCUAUAAGAGAUUGGAUUCUUGAUCAGAAGCUUUUAAGCUUGACAUCUGUUGGUGACAUUAGAAGCAAGGAGCGAUUUUCAAAGCUGAAGGACUUUCUUAACCGAAGGAAAUGCCUUCCUGUUGGAGUUAAACUGUACAAUAUUGCUUGCAAAGAUAACAUUCCUGAAGAGGUAGCUAGAGCUCUAAAGACUAUAUGUAACACCUGUAUGGAGAAAUAUAUCUAGAUAAAUUAAUCGCA